rnacentral:rRNA from 1 species
AUUGAACGCUGGCGGCAUGCUUUACACAUGCAAGUCGAACGGUAACAGGCCGCAAGGUGCUGACGAGUGGCGAACGGGUGAGUAAUGCAUCGGAACGUGCCCAGUCGUGGGGGAUAACGCAGCGAAAGCUGCGCUAAUACCGCAUACGAUCUAUGGAUGAAAGCGGGGGACCGUAAGGCCUCGCGCGAUUGGAGCGGCCGAUGUCAGAUUAGGUAGUUGGUUGGGUAAAGGCUCACCAAGCCAACGAUCCGUAGCUGGGCUGAGAGGACGACCAGCCACACUGGGACUGAGACACGGCCCAGACUCCUACGGGAGGCAGCAAUGGGUAAUUUUGGACAAUGGGCGCAAGCCUUAUCCAGCAAUGCCGCGUGCGGGAAGAAGGCCUUCGGGUUGUAAACUGCUUUUGUACGGAACGAAACGGUCCUGGUUAAUACCUGGGGCUAAUGACGGUACCGUAAGAAUAAGCACCGGCUAACUACGUGCCAGCAGCCGCGGUAAAAC